CCUACGGGAGGCAGCAGUGAGGAAUAUUGGUCAAUGGCCGGAAGGCUGAACCAGCCAAGCCGCGUGAAGGACGAAGGUGCCAAGCAUUGUAAACUUCUUUUGUCAAGGGACAAAAUCAGGCUCGAGAGCCUGACCGAGUGUACUUGAAGAAAAAGCAUCGGCUAACUCCGUGCCAGCAGCCGCGGUAAUACGGGGGAUGCGAGCGUUAUCCGGAGUUAUUGGGUUUAAAGGGUGCGUAGGCGGUCUGUUAAGUCAGCGGUCAAAGCCCGGGGCUCAACCCCGGCGAGCCGUUGAAACUGGCUGUCUUGAGAUGUAGAGAGGUAUGCGGAAUGCGCAGUGUAGCGGUGAAAUGCUUAGAUAUUGCGCAGAACUCCGAUUGCGAAGGCAGCAUGCCGGCGGCAAUCUGAGGCUGAGGCACGAAAGCGUGGGUAUCGAACAGGAUUAGAUACCCCAGUAGUC
rnacentral:rRNA from 1 species